CCUACGGGAGGCAGCAGUGAGGAAUAUUGGUCAAUGGACGCAAGUCUGAACCAGCCAUGCCGCGUGCAGGAAGACGGCUCUAUGAGUUGUAAACUGCUUUUGUACGAGGGUAAACGCAGAUACGCGUAUCUGUCUGAAAGUAUCGUACGAAUAAGGAUCGGCUAACUCCGUGCCAGCAGCCGCGGUAAUACGGAGGAUUCAAGCGUUAUCCGGAUUUAUUGGGUUUAAAGGGUGCGUAGGCGGGCGGAGAAGUUAGAGGUGAAAUCCCGGGGCUCAACUUCGGGAUUGCCUCUGAUACUGUUCGGCUAGAGAGUAGGUGCGGUAGGCGGAAUGUAUGGUGUAGCGGUGAAAUGCUUAGAGAUCAUACAGAACACCGAUUGCGAAGGCAGCUUACCAGGCUACUUCUGACGUUGAGGCACGAAAGCGUGGGGAGCGAACAGGAUUAGAUACCCCAGUAGUC
rnacentral:rRNA from 1 species